ACGUGGGCAAUCUGCCCUUCACUCUGGGACAAGCCCUGGAAACGGGGUCUAAUACCGGAUAACACUUCCACUCUCCUGGGUGGAGGUUAAAAGCUCCGGCGGUGAAGGAUGAGCCCGCGGCCUAUCAGCUUGUUGGUGAGGUAAUGGCUCACCAAGGCGACGACGGGUAGCCGGCCUGAGAGGGCGACCGGCCACACUGGGACUGAGACACGGCCCAGACUCCUACGGGAGGCAGCAGUGGGGAAUAUUGCACAAUGGGCGAAAGCCUGAUGCAGCGACGCCGCGUGAGGGAUGACGGCCUUCGGGUUGUAAACCUCUUUCAGCAGGGAAGAAGCGAAAGUGACGGUACCUGCAGAAGAAGCGCCGGCUAACUACGUGCCAGCAGCCGCGGUAAUACGUAGGGCGCAAGCGUUGUCCGGAAUUAUUGGGCGUAAAGAGCUCGUAGGCGGCUUGUCACGUCGGGUGUGAAAGCCCGGGGCUUAACCCCGGGUCUGCAUUCGAUACGGGCUAGCUAGAGUGUGGUAGGGGAGAUCGGAAUUCCUGGUGUAGCGGUGAAAUGCGCAGAUAUCAGGAGGAACACCGGUGGCGAAGGCGGAUCUCUGGGCCAUUACUGACGCUGAGGAGCG
rnacentral:rRNA from 1 species